rnacentral:lncRNA from 1 species
GGCAAUCUAUUCUACGGGAAGCACAUAGUAGUCCUUAUGCUAUGCAUCCCGACGGUAAUAAAAUAUACCAUGAUCUUUAAGAGAUGUAUUAGUAGCCCGGUUUGAAGCAUGAUUGAUAGAUUAUGUAUCUCGGUGUCUUACGUGCCAACUAGUCAAGAUUCCACGAUGGAAUGAGAAUGGGUAACUAAGGAUUUUGUCUGUGGGUUGCCC